rnacentral:misc_RNA from 1 species
UUUCCGUAGGUGAACCUGCGGAAGGAUCAUUAAUGAGUUGUCAUGGGGUUCGCUGCUGGCAGCCAGUUUUUGGAUGCAUGUGCUUGCCCUAACAAUCAUCUUCUUCCAAACACCUGUGCACAUUUUUGAGGGAGUCUUGAGUUGGUUGCCGCUCUUGGGUGAUUUUCUCACAUUCCCUUAAAUCAUUAUACGCUAUUAACAAUGUUGAACGUGCUCUGUGCCGCAAGGCCAUUAAUAUAAUACAACUUUUAACAACGGAUCUCUUGGCUCUC